rnacentral:rRNA from 1 species
AACGGAGGGAGCAAGUGUUAUUCGUCGUGACUGGGUGUAAAACGUCUGUAGAUGGUUAUUUAAGUUUAAACUUAAAGUCGCCGCAAAAGCGUAUAAGUUUUUAUACUAUUUAACUGGAGUAAAUGUGAUUAUUUCUGUGCUUUAUGUGUAAGAGUGAAAUCUGUAAAAACAUAAAGAACAAACACUUGGCGAAGGCUGAAAUAAAAUAUUUACUGACAUUGAGAGACUAAAGCGUGGGGAGCAAAAGGG